rfam:Streptomyces variegatus strain NRRL B-16380 contig-88, whole genome shotgun sequence.
CUUGAUGGAGCCCAGCCACAGCGGGCGGCCCUCGGGCCGGUCCUGACCGUAGGUGGCGAGGAGCGCCUGUGCCUC